rnacentral:rRNA from 1 species
GGGGAAUAUUGGACAAUGGGCGCAAGCCUGAUCCAGCCAUGCCGCGUGUGUGAAGAAGGCCUUAGGGUUGUAAAGCACUUUCAGUGGUGAGGAAGGCGUUGUAGUUAAUAGCUGCAACGAUUGACGUUAGCCACAGAAGAAGCACCGGCUAACUCCGUGCCAGCAGCCGCGGUAAUACGGAGGGUGCGAGCGUUAAUCGGAAUUACUGGGCGUAAAGCGCACGUAGGCGGCUUGUUAAGCAAGAUGUGAAAGCCCAGGGCUCAACCUUGGAAUUGCAUUUUGAACUGGCAAGCUAGAGUUUUGAAGAGGGUGGUAGAAUUUCCAGUGUAGCGGUGAAAUGCGUAGAUAUUGGAAGGAAUACCAGUGGCGAAGGCGGCCACCUGGUCAAAAACUGACGCUGAGGAGCGAAAGCGUGGGGAGCAAAC